rnacentral:rRNA from 1 species
GUUGCCUACGGGGCGCAGCAGUAGGGAAUCUUCGGCAAUGGGCGAAAGCCUGACCGAGCAACGCCGCGUGAAUGAAGAAGGCCUUCGGGUUGUAAAAUUCUGUUAUAAGGGAAGAAAGGUGAUAGGAGGAAAUGACUAUCAAUUGACGGUACCUUAUGAGAAAGCCACGGCUAACUACGUGCCAGCAGCCGCGGUAAUACGUAGGUGGCAAGCGUUAUCCGGAAUUAUUGGGCGUAAAGAGCGCGCAGGGGGUUAAUUAAGUCUGAUGUGACAUCCUACGUCUUAACCGUGGAGGGUGAU